GCAGCCGCGGUAAUACGUAUGGUGCAAGCGUUAUCCGGAUUUACUGGGUGUAAAGGGAGCGCAGGCGGUACGGCAAGUCUGAUGUGAAAGCCCGGGGCUCAACCCCGGUACUGCAUUGGAAACUGUCGAACUAGAGUGUCGGAGGGGUAAGUGGAAUUCCUAGUGUAGCGGUGAAAUGCGUAGAUAUUAGGAGGAACACCAGUGGCGAAGGCGGCUUACUGGACGAUUACUGACGCUGAGGCUCGAAAGCGUGGGGAGCAAACAGGAUUAGAUACCCC
rnacentral:rRNA from 1 species